ACUUGGUGGAGUUUGUUGUCAUGUAGGAGUCGUACUUUAUAGUGUAAUAACUGCUAAAACACUACCAUGUACAGCGAAACAGAACGUGUGGUUAGACACAUAUCCAAGACGAGCGGUGGCUUUAAUAAACAAAAUUGGCGAUCUGAACACGUCACGGAAAUGAGAGGAAAAAACAGAAACUGAAAAGACAUUAAUUCAGCAAAGAAAGAUUGUUAACAGCAACAACGUUCCAGAAAUGACCACCAAUUGUUAGUUCUCGAUAGUUAUGCCGAUAACUUCAAACCACCGACACUCCCGUUGGCAUUGUCAGAAAUAUUCAACGCUGCAUUCUACCAAAAACCAUACACUGAUGUUAUACAAGAAUGCGAGAGACUUGUUAAAAUUCAAUCAUUUUUUGUCUCUCAAAUUCAAUCAGAUGAUGUCGCAAGAUCACCAUCAGACAGCAUAAGACACCACUGUGGAACCGUUAUCGUGCCGGGCUAAGCACGGCCUCAAAUUCGUAUGCAAUUUGCCAUACCAACUUAGAGAUUCCCUCAGUCGCUGUUGAAGAAAAUUUGCUAUCCAGCUAAACACCAUUUCUCCACAGAAGCUACGCGCUAUGGUAUAGAAAAUGAGUCGAGGUGCAUCAAAAAAGGUUGUGAUUUCCUACAGAAAAACAAAGUGCAUGUCGGGUUCACAAUUGUUAAAUGCGGUCUAAUUCUUUCAACGACGUGUUGG